rnacentral:rRNA from 1 species
GAUGAACGCUAGCUACAGGCUUAACACAUGCAAGUCGAGGGGAAACGAUAUUGGAAGCUUGCUUCCGAUAGGCGUAGACCGGCGCACGGGUGAGUAACGCGUAUCCAACCUGCCCACCACUUGGGGAUAACCUCGCGAAAGUAAGACUAAUACCCAUUGAUAUCUCUAGAAGACAUCUGAAGGAGCUUAAAGAUUCAUCGGAGAUGGAUGGGGAUGCGUCUGAUUAGCUUGUUGGCGGGGUAACGGCCCACCAAGGCGACGAUCAGUAGGGGUUCUGAGGGGAAGGUACCCCACAUUGGAGCUGAGACACGGUCCAAACUCCUACGGGAGGCAGCAGUGAGGAAUAUUGGUCAAUGGGCGAGAGCCUGAACCAGCCAAGCAGCGUGAAGGAUGACGGCCCUAUGGGUUGUAAACUGCUUUUAUAAGGGAAUAAAGUGAGUCUCGUGAGACUUUUUGCAUGUACCUUAUGAAUAGGGACCGGCUAAUUCCGUGCCAGCCGCCGCCGUAA